GUCUAAGUAUAAAUAUUAUACAAUGGAAACUGCGAAUGGCUCAUUAAAACAGUUAUAGUUUAUUCNAUGAUGUCNCCUAUAUGGAUAACCGUAGUAAUUCUAGAGCUAAUACAUGCUGUCNAACCUGACUAUUGCGGAAGGGUUGCAUUUAUUAGAUAUAAACCAUCACCUUCGGGUGUUGUGAUGAAUCAUAAUAACUGAGCGAAUCGCGGCUGUGCCGUGAUAUAUCGUUCAAGUUCCUGCCCUAUCAGCUCUCGAUGGUAGUGUAUUGGACUACCAUGGCAGUCACGGGUAACGGGGAAUUAGGGUUCGAUUCCGGAGAGGGAGCCUGAGAAAUGGCUACCACUUCUAAGGAAGGCAGCAGGCGCGUAAAUUACCCAAUCCUGAUUCAGGGAGGUAGUGACAAGAAAUAACAAUUCGGGUCCUUUCGAGGGCUGCGAGAUUGCAAUGAGAACAAUUUAAACCACUUAUCGAGAAACAAUUGGAGGGCAAGUCUGGUGCCAGCAGCCGCGGUAAUUCCAGCUCCAAUAGCGUAUAUUAAAGUUGUUGCAGUUAAAAAGCUCGUAGUUGAUACUCUGACCAGUCCUGGCUUGUGCAAUUUGCCUUGAUGGGACUUGGUCAUCCGUAAGGGAAGCUAGUACGGUCUUCAGUGGUCGGCUAGGGGAACUUAUACUUUAUUGUGAGAAAAUUAGAGUGUUUCAGGCAGGCUGUCGCUUGGAUACUCCAGCAUGGAAUAAUGAAAUAGGACUUUGGUCGAUUUGUUGGUUUGAGAUCAAGGUAAUGAUUAAUAGGGACAGUUG
rnacentral:rRNA from 1 species